UAGGAAGUGGUGUAGUGGAAGCACUAGGAGUUUUGAUCUCCUCGGGUUGGGUUCAAAUCCCAUCUUUCUAA
rnacentral:tRNA from 1 species